AUUGAACGCUGGCGGCAGGCCUAACACAUGCAAGUCGAACGGUAGCACAGAGAGCUUGCUCUCGGGUGACGAGUGGCGGACGGGUGAGUAACGUCUGGGAAACUGCCCGAUGGAGGGGGAUAACUACUGGAAACGGUAGCUAAUACCGCAUAACGUCGCAAGACCAAAGUGGGGGACCUUCGGGCCUCACACCAUCGGAUGUGCCCAGAUGGGAUUAGCUAGUAGGUGGGGUAAUGGCUCACCUAGGCGAUGAUCCCUAGCUGGUCUGAGAGGAUGACCAGCCACACUGGAACUGAGACACGGUCCAGACUCCUACGGGAGGCAGCAGUGGGGAAUAUUGCGCAAUGGGCGCAAGCCUGAUGCAGCCAUGCCGCGUGUAUGAAGAAGGCCUUCGGGCUGUAAAGUACUUUCAGCGGGGAGGAAGGCGGUGAAGUUAAUAACUUCACCGAUUGACGUUACCCGCAGAAGAAGCACCGGCUAACUCCGUGCCAGCAGCCGCAGUAA
rnacentral:rRNA from 1 species